CGCCGCGUGAGGGAUGACGGCCUUCGGGUUGUAAACCUCUUUCAGCAGGGACGAAGCGCAAGUGACGGUACCUGCAGAAGAAGCACCGGCCAACUACGUGCCAGCAGCCGCGGUAAUACGUAGGGUGCGAGCGUUGUCCGGAAUUAUUGGGCGUAAAGGGCUCGUAGGCGGUUUGUCGCGUCGGGAGUGAAAACCAGGUGCUUAACACCUGGCUUGCUUUCGAUACGGGCAGACUAGAGGUAUUCAGGGGAGAACGGAAUUCCUGGUGUAGCGGUGAAAUGCGCAGAUAUCAGGAGGAACACCGGUGGCGAAGGCGGUUCUCUGGGAAUAUCCUGACGCUGAGGAGCGAAAGUGUGGGGAGCGAACAGGAUUAGAUACCCUGGUAGUCCACACCGUAAACGUUGGGCGCUAGGUGUGGGGUCCAUUCCACGGAUUCCGUGCCGCAGCUAACGCAUUAAGCGCCCCGCCUGGGGAGUACGGCCGCAAGGCUAAAACUCAAAGGAAUUGACGGGGGCCCGCACAAGCGGCGGAGCAUGCGGAUUAAUUCGAUGCAACGCGAAGAACCUUACCUGGGUUUGACAUACACC
rnacentral:rRNA from 1 species